UAAAUUUAAGUURUUUUUUAUUAGGUAUUGCAUAUCAAAAAUAAAAAAUUUUAUAGAAAUAAAAAAUAAAAAUAAAAGGUUGAAAUUAUAUUAUUUUUAUUGUUUCAUAAUAAAAAAUAUAUAAUUUAGGGUUGAAAAGUCGACUUUUAUAAUAUUUGUUCAUAAUAAUUAUUAGAAAAUUAUAAUUUUAAAAAGUUAAUAAUGUUAAUUUAAAAGUUAAAGUAUUURUAUUUUUUGUUUUAUAACAAUUAAUUGURUUGUGUAAGUGCUAUAUUAUAAUUAUUAUUUUUUUAAUAAUUUUAUUAUUGUUUUAUAAGUAAAUUUGUUUUAUAUUUUUUAAAAGUAAUAAUAUAAUAAAAGAAUUAAAAGUUUAAUCAAAUGUUUUUUAAAGACUUAGACUUUUUAUUAAAGUUUGCUUCUGCCCAAUGAGUGGAUUAAAUGGCAGUCUUAGCGUGAGGACAUUAAGGUAGCAAAAUAAUUUGUGCUUUUAUUGAGUUCCAGUAUGAAUGAAGUUAUUGGUUAAUAAUUUUUUUAUUUAAUUGUUGAAUUUUUUUUUUUUUAUAAAAAAAUAUAGUUACUGUUAUACAAAGAUAAGUCUUCGGAAAUUUUAUUUAUAUUAUUUUUAUAAAAGUAUAAAGUUUUCUAGGGCAGAAUUUUAUUUAAUUUUUAAUAUCUAAAUUUAAUAAAAAAAAUUACUCCGGAGUUAACAGAAAAUCAUAUCUAAUCUAGUUCUUAUAGUAAGAUAAGUUUUACAUCGAUGUUGUAUUUAAAUAAUUUAAAAAAGGAGAAAUUUUAAGAAUUAAAACUGUUCUUCUUUWAAUUAAUUUAACGKGAUAUUAGUUUAAUUCAUUGGGARAUAAAAUUGUUUAUCUUGUUAAUAGUUAGUGUURAAUGUUGUAAGUCCCAAAGGAAAAUUAUAAAAAUUUAAAAUUUUAAACUUAUUAGUUUU
rnacentral:rRNA from 1 species